UACGUAUGUCUCAAGCGUUAUCCGGAAUUACUGGGUGUAAAGGGUUUGUAGGUUGUGAAUUAAGUAGGGUAUGAAAGGCCGGAGCUCAACUCCGUGUUUGUAUUCUAAACUGGUUUGCUAGAGUUAGGGAGAGGUAAGCGGAAUUUUAAGUGUAGGGGUGCAAUCCGUAGAUACUUAGAAGAACACCAAAAGCGAAGGCAGCUUACUGGAACUAUACUGACGCUGAAAAACGAAAGCGUGGGGAGCGAAAAGG
rnacentral:rRNA from 1 species